GACGAACGCUGGCGGCGUGCUUAACACAUGCAAGUCGAACGGAAAGGCCCUGCUUUUGUGGGGCGCUCGAGUGGCGAACGGGUGAGUAACACGUGAGUAACCUGCCCUUGACUUUGGGAUAACUUCAGGAAACUGGGGCUAAUACCGGAUAGGAGCUCCUGCUGCAUGGUGGGGGUUGGAAAGUUUCGGCGGUUGGGGAUGGACUCGCGGCUUAUCAGCUUGUUGGUGGGGUAGUGGCUUACCAAGGCUUUGACGGGUAGCCGGCCUGAGAGGGUGACCGGCCACAUUGGGACUGAGAUACGGCCCAGACUCCUACGGGAGGCAGCAGUGGGGAAUAUUGCACAAUGGGCGGAAGCCUGAUGCAGCAACGCCGCGUGCGGGAUGACAGCCUUCGGGUUGUAAACCGCUUUCGCCUGUGACGAAGCGUGAGUGACGGUAAUGGGUAAAGAAGCACCGGCUAACUACGUG
rnacentral:rRNA from 1 species